GGGGGGGGGGAUAUAGGGGAACGAUCCCUGACAGAAAUAGGGGCCGAUACUAGGAACUUCUACUCUGAAGGAAGUCCCGUCGACUUCAGUUGGACUCCACCUUCAAACAAUUGUACCUUGCAGAGCAAUCCUGUGUAUGCCUACUCAGAAGUAAGCCCCCCUGAACUCAGAGAGGCUUACUCCCGGGUAAGUGGGCACAGGAGUUGCCGUCUUACUCGCUUUUAAAGCUCUGUGAUUUCAAGAGGAGAAAGGGCAAGUGGAUCGAUUUCUCCCGCUGAGACCCUAUAAAACUUAAAAGGUGUUUAAUCGCGGCUCUUAAUGUUAGGAACAAGGCCAUGCGUAUGUAUGGAUAGAUGAUAGAUAGAUAGAUAUAAAAGUUUUUGACACAAAGAUCCACAAUUCAGUAAAGCCUAAAGUCUGGCUUCUGGCUUCCUCUUUAAAACCGGAUUGUAGACCUCAACCCAACGCAAAGCUUGAGGGGUUUGGGGUUUCUGUGAAUGGGGGGCAAGGAGUAAUUAAUGUUUGACUGAUUAAAAUCCUCAUGUUGCGGCUUAGCUGGAUUGUGGAUCGCGCCGCUUGCAGAAAACACACAAUAUCUACCCGCCGCCGCACCACAUUUCCGGGACCGACAAAAAGGUUGCAUCACGGCCAGGGCUUUAAACCUUAGCAAAGAAUACGUAGAAAGCAAUAUAUAAACAUAUUGAACAGCACGAUCAUUGAACGCAAAUCGGUCUGAAGAGUCUCCUGCCCUAUAUAUUUAUAUUGGACCAGACCGAGGAACGCUGGAGAAGGUCACGGUUCUCUCUCCUUAGCUUCCCACCCCCACCCCUCUUUUCCAGGCUUGUUAUUAAGAAAGCGCCUUGUUGGUUCCUUCCACUAGAUAUUCUCCAACCACACCCGAAGAAAUACGGCCGUUCUCGGGUGGUGGUGGUGGUGGGAAUGUUUAUUCUCCGAGGGCAAAAAGCACAGAGGCGCGUUUCUGAAACGUAAGCAGUUCUCUUCUAUCUGGAAACCAUCUUGCUGGGCACGAGACAACUUCUUCCUAAAAUGGGUAGAAAAAUAAUAAUCUCGGGAUCCGCAUCAGGAUAGCUCAAGGGGAGAUAAAUCACGAGAGGUUUGUGUUAUUUGUGUGGGGCCGGGUGUGUGUCUAUGUAUGUUUACCUGUCGGUAUCCAUGGCUGCAUGCAUUCGCUCCUCAGCGUGGAUAAUAGAUGUUUCCCAGCCCAAACUCAGAUUUCAGACAUUCUGCUCCUCAGUCCUCUUAACACGUUUCCUGGAAAGUAACCCCAUUUAUUUCCAGAGAACUUACUGCCGGGUAUGCGUGCAUCCGGAUCUUGAAGCAGAGUAUUGUGGAAAACCCGCCCCUUUACUUUCCAGCGAGGCUUAGGCUAGACUCCUACACCAGCUUUACCUGGGAGUAAGCCCCAUUAAACUUGGUGGGAUUUGCUUCUAAGCAGGCAGUUGUUCCACUCGGUUUGGUUAGCACUGAGGUAGCCCUUCUCCCUGCUUGGAAUGGAGCAGGAGCAGGAUCAUGGCCCUUGACUUACACGAGGCUGAAAGAUGGUUAUUAGAUGGCAUUGAAACCUAUGAGAUUCUACGGUGUUUAGGACAGGAUUCCGCACUUUUAGCGUGAUGGAUCAGGCCGUGUGUAUUUGGGGUUUCUUCAGACGUUAUGUUAGGGUCUUCUCAGGACACGAUCCUCCUUGACUUAAGCAUUUUAAGUUGCUUGGUGUCAAUGCGGGAGUGAAACUCUCUCAAUGCCUAAUUUUUCCUGCCUGAGCUCAUUUCCUGAUUGAGUUAGUAGAUAUUCUAAGUUACUGUUAUUAUUUUAAAAUAGACCCUCCUCUAUAUUUUCCACAUAAGCUAUUUCCACCCACCUCUGGGAAGAUGAUAAAAGUGAGAGGUCUCCACUCCUGUGUAUGUGUGCGCCAUUUUUACAGUAGUUUUCACCACAAAUCUAGCGUACCUGGCCUGGAUCCACGGAAACUUUUAUUAUUUUAAAAAAAUCGAUCCAAUAAUUUCGGCUUAAAUGUAUCAAUCCGUGUGCUCAGUAUUGCUGGAGGAGCAUGGUCUAUUUGUGUGGGUACUGUUGACUACAUAGCAUAGGUGACCAAACUCAAAAGGGUAUAGAUAUGUUUGUAUGACAUGAUGUAAUUGUGCCAGAGUGUCUGUGCCUCAAUGUACAGAUGCCUAUUUGUAUAUGUGUGUGUGCAUCUCCACUGAAGGUCAUUUAUGCCUGUGUGUCUACCGUCUAGGUGUAUAUUUGAGGGCAUAAACCUGCUAAAUGAAAAUAAAUUGGGAGCUGCAGCUAAUUUGUACAUGAUUAGAGCCCUAACUGGUUUGUGAUUCUUCCUUCCUUUUGAAUUUUAGAUUGGAUUGAUUUGUUCAUUUAUUAAAAUAUGCAUAUAUCACCUGUUAGGCCAACAUUUCAAGGAGGUGUACAGUAGUAUUAUAAAAGGCAAUGUCCGUGUACCUAUACCUAUACAAUUUACAUCAAGCCCAGUCAGUCAGCAUUCUACAGCUGCUUAGCAAAGAAAUGACCACAGCCAGGCCAACAAGGACAUUUUAGAGAGUAUCAAUGUUGGUGGCUGCCUUAGUUCUGGAGAGAGGCCAUCCCAGAGUUUGGAUGCCAUGCAGAACAGGCCUUCUUGCUGGUUGUUGCCAGAUGGCCAUCUGCAGGCUGAGCCACAACCUGGAAGGCCUUUGAUGAUGAUUUCCGUAACUGGGAAGAUCUGCAUUGGUAACCUGGUCUCCAACUGCUUAGGAUCUUAUACGCUCUAUUAAAACCUUAAACCUAACCUGGUAGCAAACAGGUGUACUAGUAGGUAUGUCUACCUGAGAGAGGCCUGCAGGGCACAAACAUGCAUUUUCUGUUGUGCCUGUGUGUUACUGCUAGCUGGUAUCACAACCAUAGAUACCACUUGUCACCACAAUCCGAGGCAUACUUUCUUAGAUGUAAGCGGUUCCUACAUGUACUACUAUAUCAACAUUUGAUUAGCAUGCAUUUCUGAUACAUGGUAAGUGAAAGUGUGAACUGACUAUUGAAAAGUAUUGUGUUUAAGGUAGCCUGGGGAGAAUGGGGAAAGUUCUGUUUGGCGUGUGAUAUCUAUAGUGGCCAUUCACACACAGGAGGCAACACCAGAUGUUUCAGACUUUGAGUGAACCAGUCCUAUGAUGUGUGAUAGGUUGUGUGAACUAGCCUUAAGGCCCUUCCACAAAGGCGUGGGUCUCCCCUCCACAUGUCACAGAAUCAUGGAGUUGGAAAGGAUCAUCUGGCCCAACCCCUGCAAUGCAGAUGUCCUAUAGGGGGAUAGGACCAGCUACUUUGGUGUUAUCAGCACUACGCUCUAACCAACUGAGCUAUCCAAUUAUCUUUUCCCUUCUGCUUGGAUCAAGGACUGCAAAGAACAAUUCAUACUUGAAGAAAAUCCAGGGCAAAAAUUCCGCAGUGUGGAUGGGCUAGAGUUGCUCCUUAACCCCUCACUUAAAAAUAAAUACUGCUAGGAAGCCAAUGCCAUUGGAACUAACUUUCUCCCGUGUCCAGGGGUUCCAGGUUCAAACCCAUUCCCUGUGUGCCAUUCAACCUCAGUGGUCCUGAGUACCAGUUGGGCACGAGUGCCUUUGGAUCCAGUGGGCUGGCGUUUCACCCCUCUAGCCACCUCUUCCCAAAAAGUUCUCAUGGACAUCAGGAGGAUGUGCCUAUGAAAACUUACUGGGCCACGUUUUGCAAGGAUCGCGUGACGUUCCGUGGAGGUUUGGCUUGGCCCGCGUUUGUCACGGAGAGGGAAUUCCUUGCAAGACUCCUCGGGAACGUCUGGCAGAGUCGAGCUCUAAAAAUCAAAUGUCUGGCUGCAGAUGUUUGGGAAGAGAGACACUCGCCCCUCUUCCCCUCCGCGUGGUGUGCUGAAUCAAGCACAGCUCCAGGGCCUGCGAUCGCAUGGCCUGUACAUGCUUCUUCCUUCCUGUGCGAGUGCGAUUGCUAUGCUAUGUGCGCGCCUGCGUCUAUCUAUAUCUUUUUAGAUCGGUCGAUCGAGAUAGAUAGAUAGAUAGAUAGAUAGAUGAUAGAUAGAUGGCAUGGGACUUUUUUGGGUGAAGAGAAAAAGAGAGAAAGAGAGGGAGGUAAACAACUCUUCUUCCUUCUAAACAGUGAAGCCGGGGAAGACCACACGUCCACAAUCUAACUUGUUACAUUAAAUAUACUACCUCCCACACAGACACAGAGUGGGUGUUAUCAGAUCAGACCGAUUGGGGGAAACAAGGAGAUACAAGGGGGGGUGGGCAUUCCUGAAAUGCUCCUUCUUCAUUCCUAAAAUCCCAUUAGUCUCUGCGGGUCAAGCAGCCACGUCUGACGUUUGUUACGAAACAGCUUGUCCGUGUUCCGCCUGGAUCUUUCAAAAGCCAUUCAUCCUUCUUCGACUCCCUGACCCUUUUGUCCGGAUGAGCCCCACAUACUUCUAGCCAAGGGGGCAGAGAGAGGGGGCGGGAGGAGGGUGCUGCUGACCUGGAGACACCUUUGCAGCUGGAUCCGGCCUGGUUUUAGGCACAGCCGUUGUAAGAAGACUCUCCCCGCACCAAAUGGGGCGAACACCCGUCCUUCGCCCUGUUUUUUUGUUUUUUUAAAAAAACCCUUCCAGUUUCUCUCCGCCCCCCGCUUUUGCUAUUGCUUCAUCUUUAGUCUUUUUUGGACUUAUCUGUCUUCGGUCUUCCUCUCUUCUGUCUCUGGCUGGUUACUCGCUGCAGAUAUUAGCCGGCAGCGAUUCUCUGUGACGACCUGCCAGAGAGUCCU
rnacentral:lncRNA from 1 species